GGGUAAGGGAGGAGUGAGCCUGGGUGCUGUGGGGGGAGGGGGUUGUUCAAGGGAUGGGGACGAUCAGGGUCUCUGGGAAGUGCUGACGUGUGCGCGUGUGCGGUGUGUUGCUUGUGGGUGCGUGUGUGGUGUGUGCAUGUGUGUGCGCGCGCGUGUGUGCGGGGUGUGCCGUGAGCGUGUGCCCGCGGUUCGGGGGAUGAGUAGGGGCGCUGACUUUUAGGACCAGCCAUUUGAGUCAAGCUGGAGACGACGUCUUAGAACCUAGGAUGAGUCUCGUUUGGUUUUAGUCUGCAAAGCUCGUCUGCAUCAGACAGGAAUUUUCCCCAGACGCGGGUGCACGUGAAUUAAUUCAUCAGAAGGCGGUUCACGGCCUGAGUGAGGGGGACGAGGGCGGCGAAUUCCUCCGCCUCAUUCCUACCCUGACGAUUCGAGCCUUAGCAAGUUCUGGCCUGUGGAGCCGUCAUCCAGAGCGCACAGCUUCAUGCCCUUGAAGGGCGCAGUGUGUCCCGUGGUGCCCGGUGGGCCCGGACAGAGACCCCAGAGGCUCUGUCUGAAGGAAGCUGCACCCACAGACUCCAUCCAGGCAGCGCGGGCGCGGUCCUGUCGCCUACCUUUCUCGGAAGCCAUCUGCCCAUGUGAAUCUAUGUGAAGGCCCUUCAUGCGCUCCUGGACAUCUGCGUGGGAUUUACUUCAACUGCUAUCGCUGCGAGGAGGACGAGCAUGUUUCACUGUAUUUUUAGCAGAGAGUGCAGAUUUUAGAACCUCGCGAACGGUCCUGUAUCUCCUGCACGAUGACUCUCCAGAACAGGAAUAGUGACCCUUCCUUUGCAUUUAUGGUGCAUAGGUUUUCAAAGGACAGUGUGUAAAUCAGCUUGUGUAAUAAUUGUGGCACCCACGCGCGCAAGCAGACUUACCAUGAGCUGACUUCCACUGAUUAUUUCAGUUUCCAGGGAAACGAGGUUUGCAGCCCCCUCCAGUGAGGGCGGAGCGGCCUCUCCAUUCCCAAUGCAGCAAGGCUGCUGCAGCCACGAUGAUUAGGCUUUGGAGGAGGAAGUGAACGGAUGGGGCCUCAUCCUCCUGCCUCCCUAAAGGGUGAGGGUGGAAGGAUGGGGCUGUGCCCUCUUAGGGCAGGGAAAAACAGCUUGGAGGGGUUUCUGCCAUCAGAGAUCCCAUAGGAGGCAGGUCAGUCCUGCAGAAUUUCUCCCCAGUCUGGCCUCCAGCCUCCCUGGCCCCUUUCUAGAGGCCUCCAUCCCACUGGCGGCUUGCUCCUGCCACCGGGCCUCUGCACAGUCACCUCCUGCAGCCUGGGGUGUGUCGCCUCUCCACGUCCUCACCGGCGUCUGCCUUUGCAUUUCCCAGAUGCUCGCUUCACCCCACUGAGAUGUAACUCAGUUUUGUGGGAUCCCACUGCCCUCCAGGUGCCGCUCCGAGUGCUCUACACAGAUUUUCAUUCAGUCCUUGCGGCACACGAAGAGUGGCUGUACCAUUUUGCAUUCCCAGACCGAAGUGUGAAAGCUCCAGAUGCCCCACGCCCUCACCAGCCCACGGUGUUGUCAGCCUUAAUAGUGCUGACCAUUCUGCCUGUUAAUAUGAUGAAUUACACUGAUUCAGUUUCAAAUGUCCAACCAAGCUUGCACUCCAGAGAUGAAGCCCACUUGAUCACAUGGAUUAUUCUUUUAAUAUAUGAUGGAUACGACUUGGCUGUUCUUUUGUUGAGGAUUUUUGUGUUUAUGUUAAUGAGGAUAUUAUUUGUAGUUUUCUUUUCUUGUAAUGUUUUUGUCUUUGUUCAGUGUCAGAGUAAUGCCAACUUCAUAAAGUGAGCUGGGAAGUACUCCCUCAUUUUCUGUUUUCUGUGAAAGAAUUGUAUAGAAUUGAUGUUAUUUCUUCCUUAAGUGUUGAGUAGAAUUCACUUGCAAAGCCAUCUGAGGUUGACAUCUUCUUUGGGAAUGACUUUAGCUAUAAAUUCAAUUUAUUUAACAGAUAUAGGGCUAUUAAGGUUAUUUAAUUUUUUUCUUGAAUGAGCUUUAGUGUCCUGUGUUUUUCAAGGAAUUUUUCCAUUUUAUUUAAGUUUUUAGAUUUGUUGGCAUAAAGUUAUCCCAAUAUUUCCUUAGAAGUUGUGACUUUUACUGCAUAUAAAACAUACCUCAAUAAAGCUAAUACAUACAUAUAUAUAUAUGAAUCAUUUCUGGCCAGGUACAGUGGCUCAUGCCUGUAAUCCCAGCACUUUGGGAGGCAGAGGCAGGUGGAUCACCUGAGAUCAGGUGUUCCAGACCAGCCUGGCCAACAUGGGAAACCUGUCUCUACUAAAAAUACAAAAAUUAGCCAGGUGUGGUGGCAUGCCCCUGUAAUCCCAGCUACUUAGGAGGCUGAGACAGAAGAAUCGCUUGAAUCCGGGAGGUGGAGUUUGCAGUGAGCUGAGAUUGCACCACUGCACUCCAGCCUGGGCAACAGACUGAGACUCCAUCUCAAAAAAAAAAAAAAAAAUCCCUUUUUAUCUAAAGGAUCUGUAGUGAAGUCCCCUCUUUCAUUUCUGAUAUUGGUAAUUUGUGGGGUUUUUUUGUUUU
rnacentral:lncRNA from 1 species